UUUGUGACCUCGGCUCCGUCAGUAGAGCAAAAGACUCUUAAUCUCAGGGUUGUGGGUUCGAGCCCCACAUUGGGCAAAA